rnacentral:rRNA from 1 species
GAUGAACGCUGGCGGCGUGCCUAAUACAUGCAAGUCGAGCGAACAGACGAGGAGCUUGCUCCUCUGACGUUAGCGGCGGACGGGUGAGUAACACGUGUAUAACCUACCUAUAAGUCUGGGAUCACUUCGGGAAACCGGAGCUAAUACCGGAUAAUAUAUUGAACCGCAUGGUUCAAUAGUGAAAGACGGCUUUUGUGUCACGUAUAGAUGGAUCCGCGCCGCAUUAGCUAGUUGGUAAGGUAACGGCUUACCAAGGCAACGAUGCGUAGCCGAACUGAGAGGGUGGUCGGCCACCCUGGAAGGGUGACACGGUCCAGAGUCCCACGGGAGGCAGCCGUAGGGAAUCUUCAGCCAGGGGCGAAAGCCUGACGGAGAAACGCCGAGUGAGUGAUGAAGGUCUUCGGAUCGUAAAACUCUGUUAUUAGGGAAGAACAAAUGUGUAAGUAACUCGGCACGUCUUGACGGUAACUAAUCAGAAAGGCACGGCUAACUAAGUG